UGUUACUGAAGGGGAGGCUAUGAAGGCAAGCGGCCCCAGCCACUUACUUGAGCAGAAAGGUGAGGAGCUUGCAUCAUUUAAAAGCAAACGCUGGCAUUUUUAAGGGUGUGAUGAAGGGAACUAUCCUAAACUUUGUGGUAAGAUAGGAAGGCCUACACAAUGUGACUUUGGUGUCUGAUUGAGAGAAGCUGAUAUGGUGGUGGCGGCAGAGAGAGAGACAUACAGGCUUUUUGGGGGGGUCUCAUAGUGCCGAGGGCCUUCUGGUGGUUCCCUCGCGGCGAGAAGCCAAGUUACAGGGAACCAGGAAGAGGGCCUUCUCGGUGGUGGCACCUGCCCUGUGGAAUGCCCUUCCACCAGAUGUCAAAGAGAAAAACAACUACCAGACUUUUAGAAGACACCUGAAGGCAGCCCUGUUUAGGGAAGCUUUUAAUGUUUAAUAGGUUAUUGUAUUUUAGUGUUUUAUUGGAAGCCACCCAGAGUGGCUGGGGAAACCCGGCCAGAUGGGCGGGGUAUAAAUAAUAUAUUAUUAUUAUUAUUAUUAUUAUUAUUAUUAUUAUUAUUAAAGAAGCUGGACACAACAUCUGGAAUAGCUCAACUGGUAAACCAUGAGACUCUCAAGCUCAGAAUUGUGGGUUCGAGCCCCACAUUGGGCAAAAGAUUUCCGCAUUGCAGGGGGUUGGACUAGAUGACCCAGCGUGGGGCUCGAACUCACGACCUUGAGAUUUAAAGUCUCAUGCUCUACCAACUGAUACCACCUUGUACCACUUUCACACUGUUAUAAACUUUGUUUUGUUUUGUUAUGGUCUGAUGAGUAGGUACGAAUAAAUGAAUCUGAAUCAUCUAUAUGGAUAUUGUGGGAUGUGAAACACAAGAGCAGUCAAGUACAACAUUCCUAGAGUGAACAUGUUUACACAUGGGGAGGAAUGUUUGUCCAGCCAGCAGGUAAACUUCCUGUUUCCUUCUGGGCUGGGACAGACUUCCUCUGCAUGUGACUAGAGGUGGGUGUGGCCUCACCUGUGCAGGUAAUGACAAAAGCAUAGGGCGGGGCAACCAUCUCUCUCUCUCUUUUGACUAUAUGCAUUGAAGAAGCAACAUCUGCUUAGCCAAAGAUGCUCUCUUGGCUUCCAGCCAAGUGAGGACAAAGGGACUGUUUUCUUAUGAGAUAGUUUCUAGGUAUAUGUUACUUUUCUAAGCUAAGUCUGCCUUCUGGGAUCCUAUUGUGAACAGAAUGAUGUGUGAGUAAACCUUUUUACACUUUUAUAGAAGAAUGUGUCGUGUCUUAUCUUUUAUGAGGAAAUAAGGGGGAAAUACCAGAACAGUUAUUAUAGAGGCUUUAGCGCGCCUGAGCAAACACAUCCGCUGCAAGUUUAAAAAGGGGGAUGUUACUCUGCUAAAUUGUGAACUUGUUAACACAAGUUGGAAAGGCUAUAAUCGAACAAUAUAUCCUCUCCUGUAUCCCUGAACAUUCCCACAGAUAUAACAUAGGCUGGGAUCAAUUUCAUAUGUGCCACUUUAAAAGCUUUCAAGCCUUUCUCCCUCUAUUGGUGUGCAUGUGUGAAAGACAGAUACGCCAUUUUAAAUAGCCUUCUAUACCAGUGAUUGAUGGUGAUGCAGGAAAGUGAAUUUACAACUGCAUUUCAACUUCCCUGCACUUUUGGUACUGCCUGCGAACAGAUGUUUUCUAUCUGAAGCACAUUUUUUAGUCCUCCACCCAGCAUUCCCCCACCUCCUCCAGAAAUGUACACACUCAAGAAUGGUUUCCCCCACCCCCUUCACAUUUUGACCUCCUCUCUCCGUACAGAAGUGUCUCUCCUUUGGUUACAGUGAGCAAACAAGACUUGGUUCCCUUACAAAAUCCUCCUAGCUUUCCAUGACAGUGUUCAUGCCCUUAGUUGCACCCUUAGUUGCACUCACUUCAAUUUUCGGAGCUUAACUGAGGAGCCGAACUUUUGAAAAAGAGAUGGGAAAGCUGUGCCCUUCCCUGUGUUGUUGGACUCCAACUCCCAUCAGUCUCAGCCGGCAUGGCCAAGAGUCAGGGAUGAUGGGAGUUGUAGUCCAGCAACAUUUGGAAGGCCACAGGCCCCCCUUCCUGGUUUCGAAACAUUUACAGGGGAGAUUUGCAGAUCCUCCAAGUGUCCCUAUUUUCCAGGGACAUCGCUGAUUUAGAGAAGCCGUCCUGGUUUCUGAUUUGAUCCUGGAAUAUCCCGCUGUUCCAUAGGGUGUCCCUAUUUUCAUUGGAGAAAUGCUGGAGGGUAUGGUAAAGGUAAAGGGACCCUUGACCGUUAGGUCCAGUCGCGGACGACUCUGGGGUUGCGGCGCUCAUCUCGCUUUAUUGGCCGAGGGAGCCGGCAUACAGCUUCUGGGUCAUGUGGCCAGCAUGACUAAGCCGCUUCUGGCGAACCAGAGCAGCGCACGGAAACGCCGUUUACCUUCCCACUGGAGUGGUACCUAUUUAUCUACUUGCACUUUGACGUGCUUUUGAACUGCUAGGUUGGCAGGAGCAGGGACCGAGCAACGGGAGCUCACCCCGUCGUGGGGAUUUGAACCGCCGACCUUCUGAUCGGCAAGCCCUAGGCUCUGUGGUUUAACCCACAGCACCACCCGCGUCCCUUGGAGGGUAUGGUAGGAUGCCCCUAUUUUCACUGGAAGGUAUGGAGUUAUCUGACCCCCCAUGCCGCCUGAAAGCAACCCUGUACAGUGGUACCUUGGGACUCGAACGGCUUGGCUCCCGAAAAAAUUGGCUCCUGAACGCUGCAAACCCAGAAGUAAGUGUUCUCGUUUGCAAAUGUUUUUCAGAAGCCAAACAUCUGACACUGCUUCCGCUUGAGUGCAGGAAGCUCCUGCAGCCAAUUGGAAGCUGCACCUUGGUUUUCAAACUGUUCGGGAAUCGAAUGAACUCCUGGAACAGAUUAAGUUUGAGAACCAAGGUACCACUGUAUAGGGAAGGGUUUUAAAAAAAUGCUUUAUCAUGUUUUUCUAUAUUUCGGAAGCUGCCUAGAGAGGCUGGGGCAACCCAGAAAGAGAUGUGGGGUAUAAAUAGUAAAAUUAUCAUUAUGGAAUGGGAUGUCCCUAUUUUCAUUGGAGAAAUGUUGGAGGGUAUGGAUUUGAUAGGUGGGAGAAGGGUUAAGCACCCCUGCAAACUUGUCAGUUUUCGUCUGCAAAUGCUGCUUCCUGAAUUAUAAACAAAACAUUACAUUGAGGACCCUGCAUUUCCCUUGUAACAUCAUUGUACAUCUCCUCCUUGAAUAUAUUUUACAAUUAUAAGUUUCCCCUAUAAAACCUGUUUAGUUGAUUGACCAUGUUAAAUUAGCAAGAUUUCUCUAGAAGUCACAGUGGUACCUUGGGUUAAGUACUUAAUUCAUUCCGGAGGUCCAUUCUUAACCUGAAAUUGUUCUUAACCUGAAGCACCACUUUAGCUAAUGUGGCCUCCUGCUGCCGCCACACGAUUUCUGUUCUCAUCCUGAAGCAAAGUUCUUAACCCGAGGUACUAUUUUGGGUUAGCGGAGUCUGUAACCUGAAGUGUAUGUAACCAGAAGCAUAUGUAACCUGAGGUACCACUGUAUUUGAUUUUUCCCUUAGCAUCAGUGAAAGGAGAGGCUAAUGACCAAGAUUAGGCCACACAAAAAAGUAUUUUGGGGGGUGGUUGCUUUUCUAUAUCUUGCAGAUGUAGAGGAAUAAUUGCAUGCAAUCUAAAAUGGGGUGUGGGGUAACUGCCCCUUAUGCCCUCCCCAAGUAGUACCCCUCAUUUACAGCCCCAUUUUCCCUGUGCUAGGAUUCCACAUUCUUCAAGAUGUUUCAGGAAGUAUCUUACAGAUAGAAGGGUUGCGUGUGUGUCCUUUUAAACUGGUGGGUGGGUAAGGAAUCAUUCCACAAUAACAUUUGCUAUUCUGAAACAUUUCCACUGAUUCCCCAUGCUGACUGUUGGUGAAGGUAUUUGCAUGUGUUGGCAAAGUUAGCGGAGUCUUAAUUCCAUGCAUGUUUCUAACAUUAAAACUGUAUUUAUCUUGGAAAGAUGCAAAUGUUCUGUGUACUCAGUAAACAUAAGUGACCUCCUCAGUAUGGAAAAGGACUUGCAGUUCAGCAAACGUGUCAGAAUAAAACAGCAACCCCUUAAUGAUUUAUUUGGGCUUCCCAAAAAUUUCAAAUAAUGCAGGUAUUUUCCUGGAUGCCUUAGGAACUCCCCCAUUAUGCUUCUAUAUUUCUAAAUCAAUGGAUAGCCAGUAAAAUUCUAUAUGUAUCUACUCAGAAGUAACCCCUAUUUUAAUAUUGCGUCUACUUCUUGUUUUAUAAGCCACCCAGCAAAUGUGUGCAGCCAAAUGAACUCAGUAAAAAAUAAGCUUAACUAAAUAAACGGAGUCCAAUGGGAAUUUCUCCCAGGAAUGUUUGUAUAGGACGGCUCCCAUACUAUCCCUUUAUUUAGAACUAUGGAAGCUGAGAAUGGGGGAACAGAUAAGGUACACACACAUAUCAAGGCCAUUUCUCUCUGUGCACAAGAAAUAUACAGUGGUACCUCGGGUUACAUACGCUUCAGGUUACACACUCCGCUAACCCAGAAAUAGUGCUUCAGGUUAAGAACUUUGCUUCAGGAUAAGAACAGAAAUCGGGCUCCGGCAGCGCGGCAGCAGCAGGAGGCCCCAUUAGCUAAAGUGGUGCUUCAGGUUAAGAACAGUUUCAGGCAUAGCUGUCAACUUACAGAUAUGAAAAUAAGGGAUCAGCAGCCAAAAUAAGGGAUUUUAGUCAACCAGCAGCCAAACAAAGCCUCAAGUGGUGGUUCCCAUAGCGCAGCAACCCGGCAAAGGGGAUGCAGCAAGGAAAACCACCGUCACCUCUCUGCUGGGAAGCGCUGAGCAAAGGUGAGUCCCCAGGCAACGUGGCCAAUUUGAUUGGCACAUGGUAUGCAAGCUCCACCCCCCAGUCGUUCUUAGUCUCCUUAUUGGGUGAGCAAUGCAGCCAAGCAGCACACAGUUGGAGCCUCCCUCCUCCCUGGCCGGCAGGGAGGGAGGGAGAGGAGCUGCUUCCUUUGAAACCCGGGAAAUUUAAGGGACAUCAUCAAUAAGGGACAGCAGCGGGACACAGCGCUGGGAUAAGGGACUGUCCCGCCAAUUAAGGGACGCUUGACACCUAUGGUUUCAGGUUAAGUACAGACCUCCGGAACAAAUUAAGUACUUAACCUGAGGUACCACUGUAUCCUGUAAGAUAGCUGCCCGUGGAAUAUCCUCGAAUCUGUGAGCGCUUGGAAGACCUGCUUAUGGUGGGAAAAGCAGCAGUUCAGCUCUCAGAUAACUCCUUCAUGUGAAAUCCAGAGCAAGUUAACUGAGACUUUGCUUUCCCCCACCCUGAAAAAGGACCAUUGGCAGAUUUCCCACCAAAUACCCCCCACCACUUCCCAUUUUAUUUACUUAUUUUGUGGUCGCUCCUGUAUUGCAUGCUUCCUUCCAGUAACUCCGGCAGCCAAGCUGGUGCCACACGUAUUGCUCUGCUUUCCUUUGGAUCGCAUCAGUGGGGCCGAGAGGAGGGAAUCUUGUCAUCUGGGCAGCCCAGGGCCUCCCUACGCACUGCUCAGGCUUGCGUCCCCGAGAGGUCACUGUGGUGCUGCCAAAGCAGCAAAAGCAACUCAGGAGGCAGCAGUUACGAGUUAGCAGUCUCUGCAGCCACAGCAGGUGCUGUGAAUUGGUUUGACUUCAUCACCCCUGAAGUCACACUCCAUUGUCUCUCGAGACAGGUGGAUGCCAACAAUAGGUAGCUACUGCCAGUGUAGUGUAGUGGUUAAGAGCUGUAGUCUCGUAAUCUGGUGAACUGGGUUCACUUCCCCGCUCCUCCACAUGCAGCUGCUGGGUGACCUUGGGCCAGUCACACUUCUCUGAAGUCUCUCAGCCUCACUCACCUCACAGAGUGUUUGUUGUGGGGGAGGAAGGGAAAGGAGAUUGUUAGCCGCUUUGAGACUCCUUAGGGUAGUGAUAAAGCGGGAUAUCAAAUCCAAACUCUUCUCCCCUAUGGUGUUCCAGAAUAAUGCUAUUUACAGUGGUACCUCGGUUUUUGAACGCCUCCGUAGCAGAACGUUUCGGAACUCAAACGCCGCUUCCGUUUCGAGUUUCCCGUAUUGAGGCUUCGGUUUUGAGGCUUCUGUUUUCAGUUUCCGAAUGUUUCAGAACUCGAAAGGACUUCUGGAAUGGAUUACGUUCGAAAACCGAGGUACCACUGUACUACCACCCUUUUGCUCUUCCUCUUUCUCUCCCCACUCCCCUAAUUGUUCUCUGCUGCACCGUUGGCACUCUUAUUUUCCAUAAACUGCUUUGUUACAAUCAAGCAGUACAUAAAUCUUGUGAAAUAACUACGUUGUGCAACAAAUAUUUCAAGCUCCUUGGGGCAAGGAUCUGCCUUUUUGCACUGAUGGUGUAACAAGGUCACCGUUUUUCUGAACCUUAAUCCGUAGAUGUUCACUCCUUGUGUUCUAGGCUUACAGACACUGAAUGAGUGUUUGGAGAGAAAACGUAAGGAAACCACUGUAGCAGUUUCUGGGCUGUGCCCCUUAACCUACAUUGUAGGGUAAUUGUGAGGCCCUGAAAUGUCCUCACACGGAAGGCUGUGCAAAAGGUGAACGUGCCAACUGGGCUGAUUUCCUGAGCAAAAAAAAGAUCUUCUCUCUUCCAUUACAUUUACGAGGCCGUAGGGAAACACCCGUCAAUGCACACAUUAUAUUUCAUUAUGCAAAUAUAAAAAUCUUCCGGGUUUGUUGCCUGUGGAUGUUGGCAGGUAUGAAGGGGAUUUAAAGAAAUGAGGAAGUGGUUCUCACCAAUGAAGUAUAUUCUGGAUUGCUUGCCACCCCUCACCCUGCACUGUAUUUUAAAAAACGAACCGUAAACCCACUCAGGGUUUCGAAACAGCUGCAAGAAUUUGCAAGGCGUAGGCUUGUUUUGCCUCCCUGGCGUUUAUUCCACCAUCUUGCCCUUGGGUUUUUGCUGUGAGCAUUUCUUACCUAAGGUCUUGUGCAAGCAUUCAUUGCUUCCAUGAGAUGUAAUUGCCUUUUGGCAUUCUGCGAGAUUGGCUUUGCCAGAACGGUAUUGCAGCUUGAAUCCGUGGCUCAUGCGUUACUCCUCUGCAGGUUAACUGACCACCCCUUAGUUAGGAAUUGAAUUAAUUCAGAUCUGUAUGCUAGGCAAACGUGUUCCUAGAUGAUAUUAUUUGGAAACCAGCACAACAAGGGUAGCUGAACAGCCUGUGAUAUAGGUCGAAAAGAGGUACCAGAGCUAUAAUAAUAAUAAUAUAAUAAUAACAAUUUAUUAUUUAUACCCCGCCCUUCUGUCUGAAUUUCCCCAGCCACUCUGGGCACCUUCCAAUCGAGUGUUAAAAACAAUACAGCAUUAAAUAUUAAAAACUUCCCUGAACAGGGCUGCCUUCAGAUGUCUUUUAAAGAUAGCUGCUUAUUUCCUUCACAUCUGAAGGGAGGGCGUUCCACAGGGUGGGCACCACCACCAAGUAGGCCCUCUCUCUGGUUCCCUGUAACCUCACUUCUCGCAAUGAGGGAACUGCCAGAAGGCCCUUGGUGCUGGAUCUCAGUGUCCGGGCUGAACGAUGGGGGUGGAGACGCUCCUUCAGGUAUACAGGACCGAGGCUGUUUAGGGCUUCAAAGGUCAGCACCAGCACUUUGAAUUGUGCUCAGAAAUGUACUGGGAGCCAAUGCAGAUCUCUCAGGACCGGUGUUAUGUGGUCCCGGUGGCCACUCCCAGUCACCAGUCUAGCUGCCACAUUCUGGAUUAAUUGCAGUUUCCAGGUCACCUUCAAAGGUAGCCCCACACAGAGUGCUUUGUAGUAGUCCAAGCGGGAGAUAACUAGAGCAUACACCACUCUGGCAAGACAGUCCACAGGCAGGUAGGGUCUCAGCCUGCUUACCAGAUAGAGCUGGUAGACAGCCACCCUGGACACAGAAUUAACCUGCGCCUCCAUGGACAGCUGUGAGUCCAAAAUGACUCCCAGGCUGCGCACCUGGUCCUUCAGGGGCACAGUUACCCCAUUCAGGACCAGGGAGUCCCCCACACCCACCCGCCCCCUGUCCCCCAAGAACAGUAUUUCUGUCUUGUCAGGAUUCAACCUCAAUCUGUUAGCCUCCAUCCAUCCUCCAACAAUCCCCAUUGUUGCGAUGGGAGGGGUUGUGUGUGUGCCUUUUCUGUAUAUUGUAAGGACUGGUGCAAAUCCAGCUUGAAUCUCCACAUAAGACUAUCCUGUGUGAUCCAGUUCAGCAAAAGCCAGGACGUUCUGUACUGGGAGUGGGAGGCAACGUUUGCUUUCAUUGCAACAGCACCCUAAAGCACAGCUAUACCAAUUCCACAUAGUGGUGAAUGGUAUCCAUUCAGUUACGUGAAAGACAGUGAAGAGGUACACACAGAAACACUCCUGGGGUGUGGCUAAGUCAGCCCUCUGUGUAAACAGUAGUUAGGAGCACGAGCUGAAUGUUAGAAUCUCUUUUUUGCAACCUGAUCCUCUAUUCAGAAGGCACACUGAUUUUAUUCAAGCUUCCUUUGAGAUUACUGUCUCAGUCAAGUUAGAGUGUGACAAAAUGAAAAUGUUGGGUGUGUGCAUACAUCAGAGGUUAAGGGCCACUUUCCCUUCUGGGGAACCUCCUAGGUACCAUGGGCCAGUGUUAGGGUUGCCAUGUGCCCUCUUUUUCCAGGACAUGUCCUCUUUUUCAGGGGAUAAAAUUUGAGACAAAUUGCAUUUAUUUGCUUUGAAUGGCCAUCAUAGCGUCCUCUUUUUUUGCUCUUCAAAGUAUGGCAACCCAGGAUGAAAAAGUGGCCUCUUGGACCAUGCCCUUGGCCAGAGCCUAAUCUGUAUCAGAACGCUGCAAGGAGGCUGUAUUCUGCUGGAAAGACUGUAUACUACAACUCAGCUGGUAAGAUGCUUCUGGGACAACCACAAGCUGGACGUGAUAGAAUUGGCCAUUGUCUGUUGCUUCUCCCCCGGCUGAUACGUUUUAGGUCAUCUCCUCCUUGGAAGGUAAUGGAACAAGUCACCAUACAGCCCUAUAAGGGUCUGGUAGCCUUUGAGGAGCUGGCUGCGUAUUUCUCUAAGAAGGAGUGGUCUCUGCUGGGUCGUGACCAAAAGACUCUGUACAGGGGUGCAAAAGUGGAUAGAGCGAUGAAUGUAAAUUUAACUUUGUACGGUAGGCUAAUUUCUUUUCUUUUUUUGAAAUAAUUUUUAUUUGAUUUUGCAAGUGUAAGAUUAUAACAAUACUAAAUACAUAUCCCUAUUCAGAGAUUUCUCCAAAUCUCUAGACUUCCCACCUUCCCCUCCAUUGGUCCUAUUAUCAACCUCUUCAACUGCCCAUUAUUUCCUCGUCUAAAUUUUAUGUCUCUCCAUUUUGUCCAUAAUAAUUUCUAUAUGACAGUGGUACCUCUGGUUGCGAACGGGAUCCGUUCCGGAGGCCCGUUUGCAACAUGAGCAGAAUGCAACCCGCGUCUGUGCGGGUCGCGAUUCGCUGCUUCUGCGCAUGCUCGCGGCGUCAUUUUGCGCAUCUGCGCAUGCGCAAGUGGCGAAACCCGGAAGUAACCCUUUCUGGUACUUCUGGGUCGCCGCAGGAUGCAACCUGAAAACGCUCAACCUGAAGCAAACGUAACAUGAAGUAUGACUCUACAUGUGUUAUUGCAAUCCUGCUAUUGUUUUCAUCUGCUUACAGUGGUCUCUCAAGUAAAUUGAAAUUCCCCCCCAUUCUUUAUGAAAGUUUUGGUCUUCUUGGUUCCUGAGCUUUCCAGUUUUGCCAUUUCGGCGUAGUCCAACAGCUUAGUUUGCCAUUCUUCUCUGGUAGGGACUUUGUCUUCUUUCCAUCUCUGGGCAAUGGUAGGCUCAUUUCUUCACACACUCCUCUCUGUACUCCAGUCAGAAGAGCAAGAGGCGUCCAAGUUGAAGGACACAUUCAGACCAGCACCAGGGUUUGAAUUAUGGCUGCCUAGGGACAGUCUGGAGGGCUAGAUAGAGAGGCCCCUGCACCAGAGUGCCCCCACCCCUGGAUAUGCAUAGCUAAGUCACCCUGAGAUGAUACCAUGAAAUAGAACUGAACUUGGCUGGCAAAAAUAGAUCUUCUGACACACCAGCCACCUUACGCAAACAAGAAAACUGGCCCCCUUCCAUUGAGCCUGCUGUCGUCGGUCCUCCUUGCUUGCCUCCGGCACUUACAAAUGAUGUAAUGGGCUUGCCUUGUAUGACAAAAAGACUAAUAAUUAUGAUUAACAUCAGACAAUUAUCUUGGACCAAAGAGUCUUUCAAAAUAGGCCUAUCUCAUUAUGCUACUUAUUCUUAUUCUUUUUAAAACAGCUCAACAAGGUUCUAGUAUUCCUGUCAUCCCUGAUUGGCUAUACAGUAGUACCUCGGGUUACAUACUUCAGGUUACAGGCGCUUCAGGUUACAGACUCCGCUAACCCAGAAAUAGUACCUCGGGUUAAGAACUUUGCUUCAGGAUGAGAACAGAAAUCGUGCUCCGGUGGCGCGGCGGCAGUGGGAGGCCCCAUUAGCUAAAGUGGUUCUUCAGGUUAAGAACAGUUUCAGGUUAAGAACGGACCUCCGGAACGAAUUAAGUACUUAACCCGAGGUACCACUGUACUGGCUGGGGCUUAUGGGAGUUGGAACCCCAGCACCAUCUGUAGGGCCACAGGCUCCCUGAUCCUGGUCAGUAAUGAAAUAAAACCUCAGGCACAAUUUUUAUUUUUGAAGGGAACCGUCCACGAAAAGCCAGCUAUGAAUUUCGCUCUGCUAGCAGGAGAAGGUAGCAAGGCAGGUCAUUCCAUAACAUAUCAUAGGCUGGAAACAGAAGGAUGUUGGGUGAUAUUCUUUUUUCUUUUCUUUUAAAAGAUAUUUCAUGGUGUUUGAGCAAGGUCUGAGAAAACAUGCCUGCAAUGAGGCCUAAGCCAGAAGCCACAUUAAAAAAAGAAAAAAAGAAAACAAGCCCUCCAGAAUAUAAUUUUGGAAAACCUCAACAUAUUUUUGGAGGCAGGCUCAACUCGUGGUUUUGGAAUAUUUGAGAACAGCCGUGCUGCAGAUGACGGUUGUUUUCUUUUUUAUUUUUAAAUGAUAUUUAUUAAAGUUACAAAAAAUAAAAGAAAUACAAAAUACAGAAAAAAGAGUAAAAUUUUUUAAAAUAUAACAAAAAAGUAAAGAAUAAAAAAGAAACAUACAAAAUAAGACAAUUAAAAAGACAUUAAUUUUCCAAACCUAUCUUCUCUAGACUUAUUUCCCCGGACCUCCUCAUACCUCCCUUUUUUGUAUUCCAGUUCAGUUUGUUAGUUCAGCAAAUCCUUACCAUUAAACUUUUGCCCAAUUGUAAGCCUUUUUCAUAUCUCUUAAAGCAUUACAUGCUAAAAACUCUUAGUUUCUAUCCAACAUCCUUCUAAGAUUCACUUAAUUUUACAAUAUUUCUGUAAAUAGUCUUUAAAUUUCUUCCAGUCUUCUUUCACCGACUCUUCUCCCUGGUCUCGGAUUCUGCCAGUCAUUUCCGCCAGUUCCAUGUAGUCAAUCACCUUCAUCUGCCAUUCUUCCAGAGUGGGUAGAUCUCUAAAACCUUAGUUUUUAGCUUGUUCAGUUUAAAACCUGCCACCUGACCAAAUUCUUGAAUUAAUUCUAAAACUCUUUUAGUGCUAGAUUCUGGCUCCUGUAACGUCAAUACUAAAUCAUCUGCAAAUGCUCUCAGUUUGUACUGUUUAGCUCCGACCUGUAUACCUUUAACCAACCUGUCCUUUCUAAUCAUGUUUAGCAGAACCUCCAGGACCCAGAUGACGGUUGUUUUCAUUGGGAUUUUGUGGUACCUCCUGUUCUGCAUUCAGCUUUAAAGCAUAUGAUCCUAUAGGAAUUCCCCAUAUAACCCGUGAUGGUAUGCCUUUAUAUCUGCCUGCUAACCCCAACCCUCCCAAAUUCCAGCAUCAAAUUAGAGACCAAGUGUCAAGGAUAUAGGAGUGCCAUAGACUCCAGCAGAGCAGAAGUGGUGUGAAUUCACAUCGAGAAAUGUUUUGGAAGAUAAAUGAUUGGCAUGGACCCUGGGCAUUUUCUAGGUGGCAUUUGUUAGGUGAGAUUUUAACUUUGCCACUUCCUACCUUGCAACAUUCCCCCCACAUCCCCUAAAGCAUGCUCAACCUCAUCAGAACCAUUUGGAAUGUGGUAGAAUUCCUGUACUUUUAAUGAGGGUGAAAGAGGAGAGCGCAAAAUAUGGACUGAAGCUCAACAUCAAAUAAUCGAAGAUCAUGGCCACUGGUCCCAUCACCUCCUGGCAAAUAGAAGGGGAAGAAAUGGAGGCAGUGAGAAAUUUUACUUUUUUGGACUCCAUGAUCACUGCAGAUGGUGACAGCAGGCACGAAAUUAAAAGACGCCUGCUUCUUGGGAGAAAAGCAGUGACAAACCUAGACAGCAUCUUAAAAAGCAGAGAAAUCACCUUGCCAACAAAGGUCCGUAUAGUUAAAGCUAUGGUUUUCUCAUUAGUGAUGUAUGGAAGUGAGAGCUGUACCAUAAAGAAGGCUGAUCGCCGAAGAAUUGAUGCUUUUGAAUUAUGGUGCUGGAGGAGACUCUUGAGAGUCCCAUGGACUGCAAGAAUAACAAACCUCUCCAUUCUGAAGGAAAUCAGCCCUGAGUGCUCACUGGAAGGACAGAUCCUGAAGCUGAGGCUCUAAAACUUUGGCCACCUCAUGAGCAGAGAAGAGUCCCUGGAAAAGACCCUGAUGUUGGGAAAGACGGAGGGCACAAGGAGAAGGGGACAACAGAGGACGAGAUGGUUGGACAGUGUUCUCGAACCUACCAGCAUGAGUUUGACCAAACCGCGGGAGGCAGUGGAAGACAGGAGUGCCUGGCGUGCUCUGGUCCAUGGUGUCACGAAGAGUCGGACACGACUAAAUGACUAAACAACAACAACAGAAUUCCUGUGCAUGCUGAAAAUAUAUUCUGCAUGCACAAACUCAUACAUUAUACAGGCGUAUCUUGGAUCCCGAACGCCUUGCGAGUCAAACGUUUUGGCUCCCGAAUACUGCAAACCCAGAAGUGACUUUUCCGGUUUGCAAAUGUUCUUUGGAACCCGAAUAUCUGACAUGGCUUCCGCGGCUUCCAAUUGGCUGCAGGAGCUUCCUGCUGCCAAUUGGAAGCCGCUCCUUGGUUUCCGAACAUUUUGGAAGUCGAACGGACUUCCGGAACGGAUUCCGUUUGACUUCCGAGGUACCACUGUAUAGUGCAUUUCUAUCCAACUAAGGAGGGACGCGGGUGGCACUGUGGGUUAAACCACUGAGCCCAGGACUUGCCGAUCAGAAGGUCGGCGGUUCGAAUCCCUGUGACGGGGUGAGCUCCCGUUGCUCGGUCCCUGCUCCUGCCAACCUAGCAGUUCGAAAGCAUGUCAAAGUGCAAGUAGAUAAAUAGGUACUGCUCCGGCGGGAAGGUAAACGGCGUUUCCGUGCGCUGCUCUGGUUUGCCAGAAGUGGCUUAGUCAUGCUGGCCACAUGACCCGGAAGCUGUACGCCGGCUUCCUCGGCCAAUAAAGCGAGAUGAGCACCGCAACCCCAGAGUCAGUCACGACUGGACCUAAUGGUCAGGGGUCCCUUUACCUUUACCUUUAUCCCACCAAGGAACUCAAGAUAGCAUACAUAGCAACUCCCCGUUUUAUCUCCACAACACCCCUGUGAAGUAUCUUAGGCCGAGAAAUAAUGAAUGACUCAGGGUCACCCAGUGGACUUCAUGGGUGAGUGAGAAUUUGAACCUGAGCAGGCUUGGUGGCCACCGUCGUCCCUUCGUUGCUGCCCCAACCUCCUCUCCAGUUGCAAUACUGCUUCCACUUCCUCCAUCCACAUUGCAGGUGUUACCACGACUUCCUCUUCUCCUUCUCAGCGGUGUGACAUCUGUCUGUCAAUAGCAGGGUGGGAUGACAACAGAGAUGAGAUGGAGCUGUCCAACACCCAUUGAGAUUGGUGUGUGCUUGUGUUAGAAAGACACACAGAAGCCCCAUCCACUUCAAUGUCCUGUCCUACACUCUGAGAGCCAGUGUGGUGUAGUGGUUAAGAGCGGUAGUCUCGUAAUCUGGGGAACCGGGUUCGCGUCUCCGCUCCUCCACAUGCAGCUGCUGGGUGACCUUGGGCCAGUCACACUUCUCUGAAGUCUCUCAGCCCCACUCACCUCACAGAGUGUUUGUUGUGGGGGAGGAAGGGAAAGGAGAAUGUUAGCCGCUUUGAGACUCCUGAAGGGGAGUGAAAGGCGGGAUAUCAAAUCCAAACUCUUCUUCUUCUCUGCUACAUCUCUAUAGUACCAGUUACUUGUCAUCAAGGUCCUCUCCACACCAUGCAUUUAAAACACAAAGCUUCCCCACAAGAAACUUGGGAACUGUAGGAUGCUAGAACCAAGGAUGCUAGAAUUGUAGCUCAGUGAGAGGAGACUACAGUUCCCAUAAUUCUUGGGGGGGGGGGGAGCUGUGUGUUUUAAAUAUGCAUUUAAUAUCUUUUAAAUGUAUGGUGUGGGUGUGACUCAGCUCUGCUUGCUCUCAAACACAAAUCAGCCUAGGAACUCUGUGUAUUACAGUAAUGUUUUAACACAUGAUUUCUAUUAGCUUUCCUGUGUCAAGGGAACUUAACUCCUGUGUUGAAAAAAGGGGUGACCUUUCUAGAUCAGGGGAAGGAGAAAAGUAGCUAGUGAGAUAUUUCUGGGUGAUUUGCAGUAGAUCAGUCAGGUUUCUGUUUAAUGUGCACAAAUUUGCAAAACAUUUGUCUCUCAUUAAUAUAAUAUAUUUUGUGUGCCAUUUUCACUAAUUAUGAUAUAUGCCCAUUUUCACUAAUUAUGACACUUUGCCCUAAUAUACCCUAAUUUUUGUACAGCUUACGUGGCUGGAGAACUGCGUUGCAAAAUUUGGAGAAGUGCCAGUUUCAAAGAAUGGGUGUGUUUCGCUAAGUGUAUUGUGCAAUGUAGGUACGUUUUCUUUUAAAUGUGAACAGAAUGGAAUUUCUUCCCCAAUCCCUAGCCCUGUGGCAGCUGAGGCAAGGCAACAGAGUGGAAAGAGCACUUGUCUGAAAGCUUCAAGAGAUGUUAGGUCAGCUGAGCAUCCUUGAACCUGCAGUGCACCCUGAACAAGGAAUCAGGCCAUAAGCCAAGGACGGGGAAUCUGUGACCCUCCACAUGUGGUUGUACUCCAUCUCCCAUCAGCUCCAGCAAGCAUAGUCAAUGGCCAAGGAUGGUGGGAGCUGGAGUCCAGCAACAUCCCUGCAAAGGGAUAUCAGAUGGGGAUUCAGACUGUGACCUAGACCAGCAAGAAACAUAAGUCAUAAGCCAGAGUCUUAAAACCUUCCUGGGCAGAUUUAUCCAUUGCCAAUGAAGAGACUCUUGUUUAUCUGUCCUCAGCCAUCUUGCCUUGUCUUCACGGUCACCCAACUUGACAUAAACUUCAUGGAGGAUCAGCUACUAUCCAUGACGGCAAUGUUGUUCCUCCACUGUCAGAGGGAGUAUGUCUCUGAAUACCAUUUGCUGGGAAUCACAUACCUGAACUUACCUUUCAUGGCAACGGUCACCUCUCCAACAAUACCUGCUUUUGUAUUUUUCCAUGUUGCCACCCACAAAAGAAAUGCCUGUGUUAUGUUUCAGCUUAAGUGCAAGUUUAUGUUACUACCUUUUCGUUGGUAAUUAAUUGAAAAAAAUUAAUACACAAAUAUUUUUUUAAAAACCCAAUGGUGCUAUUGCACUCAGGUCCUGCUCAUAGGCAUGUGCAGAGGGUGUGUGUGGUUUCAUUUUAUGGAGUGGCAGCCCAGCCCCCUCAGCUGCCAGGAUCCUCCUGAGGACGAAUCACGGUUGUCCACAGUUGUGACCUUUAGAAAAAAAGGUUUACAGCCAUCAACGCUCAACCCUUCCCACCAUAACCCACAAAAUUUAGAUGUGGUGUUGUUCUUUAGUCGUUUAGUCGUGUCUGACUCUUCGUGACCCCAUGGACCAGAGCAUGCCAGGCACUCCUGUCUUCCACUGCCUCCCACAGUUUAGUCAAACUCAUGCUGGUAGCUUCGAGAACACUGUCCAACCAUCUCGUCCUCUGUCGUCCCCUUCUCUUUGUGCCCUCCAUCUUUCCCAACAUCAGGGUCUUUUCCAGGGAGUCUUUUCUUCUCGUGAGGUGGUCAAAGCAUGGGAGCCUCAGCUUCAGGAUCUGUCCUUCCAGUGAGCACUCAGGGCUGAUUUCCUUCAGAAUGGAGAGGUUUGAUCUUCUUGCAGUCCAUGGGACCCUCAAGAGUCUCCUCUAACACCAUAAUUCAAAAGCAUCAAUUUUUCGGCAAUCAGCCUUCUUUAUGGUCCAGCUCUCACUUCCAGAGAUGUGGUAGGUAUAUAGAAAUCUCUCACAUUUGGGCAGUCAAACCACAGAAGCCACAGAGCUGGAAAGUCAAGUUAUAGUUUGAUGGGGAAAAAAUAAUGUCCUUUAUGAUUAUGAGUAUGCAUUCAAUAAAUGUUUACCUUAAAAAAAUAUCUAGAAUGAAAUGUGCUUUGGGUGCCUCUAGCCUUGCUUGUGGGCUUCCCAUAGGCAUCUGUUUAGCCACAGGAUGUUGGAUGAGAUCGGUCUUUGGCCUGAUCCAGCAGGCUGUUCUUAACUGGGACUGAAACUGAGCAACAACUAGGACCCUUUAUAUUGCUUUCUGCAAUAUAUCUUCUUACUGCUCUGAUCCAGUUUCCUCCCCUUCUUCCUUUGAGCCAUGCUCAUGCAUGUGGCAUGAGCUCAGCCUAGAGGAGCAGCAAAGUCUUUCUUGUCUCUCAUUUAAAAUAAAAUGCAAAAAUUGACAGCUCACUUUAUCAUCUCAGUGUCUCCAGACCUUUCCCUCCCCGCCCCAUAUGCAAAGCAGAGAGAGGUUUGGCGGAGGACAGCCAGAGCUAACACACAAUGUGCCUGCAAAAAAAAAGAGGGCGAAGGCGUCUGCCAUCAAUUGCCUCCAUGGAUGGGAAAACAAGAAAUCUGCUCUCUUGACACCGGACCUGUAGGGGAAAUCGCAAAAAUAUACACCGCCGAGGGUUUUCUUUUCUCAAGGCUCAUCCAACCGCACGUUUAUGAGCAGAAAGGGACUACUUAGAAUAACACCAAGUAGCAUUAUAAACAUGCAAACUCAUAACAAGCAACCAGAUGCAAUUUUCACCAGCAUGUGAAAGUACCGCAAUAUCGUUUCCCCUUCAAUACACAGAGCCAAAUAAUCAGCCAUAAAUACAUACAUACAAAAAAAGAGUUAUAUACGGCCUCCUCGAGGGCAAGGCCACUCACUAUAAAUGUGAAGCUCCUUGCGGAGAUCACCAGGGUGGAAAGAAGACUGUCAGCCAUGCUAAAACUUCUCGCAAAGAUCUGUGCCAGAGGGGUGAGGGUGGGUGGGGGGACAUCCCAUGUCUCCUUGCUAAUCGUGGAAUGAGAUGGCAGCUGCUAGGAGCCUGUGCAGUUCUGACAUCUGCUGGAGAGAACCAGAGCUUCCCAGCCAUAUGUCAUAAACCCAAUAGGUCUGGUCCCUAAUGGGGAGUUGCUUUUUCCUCAAGCUCUCAACCAAGGUCACUUUUCCUGCUGGGGUGCUCUGUAAUUCUACCAUUCCACAUGAAGCAAAAGCAAAACAUUCUUCCCCUGGAAGAGAACCCCUGCCUGAUAAAUAUAUAUAUAUAUGCAUAUCUGAACAAAUGAGCUUGUUUCACACAGUUUGAAUUGCUAUAACCCUGAGUAGUUUUGCAGCUUGUGUUUUUUUUUAAUAACAAUAAAAUGUAAGACCUUUUGAUCUGCAGGAUUUGGGAUUAAAGGAAAUAAGGUUUAUGAACUAGGAAGAUUUGCAAGAGGGAACCAAAAGUUGUGGAUAAGCAAUUGGGUAAAGUGAAGAGGACUGAGCCCACAGAAGGCAAAGCAAUGGACAUCAUUAUUGUAAGGAUGGGGAAACUGUGGUUCUCCAGAUAUUGUUGGACACAAAUUCCAUCAAUCCCAACCAGCAUGGCCAACGAUUAGGGGUGUCAAGACCUAUGUGGAGGGCCAUAGCUUCCCCAUCCCUAGCCUAAAAAGUUAAAAUGGAGUAUUCUGAAAUACUUUUGGGGGUGGCAGUUGGGGGAGUAAAAAUGCACUUCAGAUAGAGCAGAUCUGUUCAUAGGAGAUACAAAAAAAAAAAAGACUGAAAUGAAAUUGGCACUGGCACUGGCAGGAAGAGGAGGAGGAGAAUUAAUGCUAUGAUCUAAAGGAAAGACGAGGGUGGUGCUGUGGUCUAAACCACUGAGCCUAGGGCUUGCCAAUCAGAAGGUCGGCAGUUCGAAUCCCCGCGACGGGGUGAGCUCUCGGUCCCAGCUCCUGUCCACCUAGCAGUUCAAAAGCAUGUCAAAGUGCAAGUAGAUAAAUAGGUACCGCUCUGGCGGGAAGGUAAACAGCAUUUCUGUGUGCUGCUCUGGUUCACCAGAAGCAGCUUAGUCAUGCUGGCCACAUGACCCGGAAGCUGUAUGCCGGCUCCCUCGGCCAAUAAAGUGAGAUGAGCGCCGCAACCCCAGAGUCGGCCACGACUGGACCUAAUGGUCAGGGGUCCCUCUACUUUUACCUUUAAAGGAAAGAGCCAGUACUUUAUACUGGAUUUCUGUUAGCAACAAAAACCCAGAACAGAGCAGAACUUUCUGACCCAAAAGUAUGUGCCAUGAAAAAUUGAAUUUUCAUGAUGUUGCGUUCUGUAGCUAUUGAUUAAAAAUAAACUAACCAGGUUCUCGCCUGGUUAAGACUGCCAGACUGGAGAACAUUCAUGCACCCUCUGCAUCAGGGGUAGUCAAUGUAGUGCCCUCCAGAUGUUGUAGACUACAGUUCCCAUGAUCCCUGAUCCUUGGCCAUGACAGCUGGGGCUGAUGGGAACUGCAAUCCACAGAAUCUGGAGGGUGCCAUAUUUGCUUCCCCUUCUCUGAAUUUUCCAAUGCCGUAAGAGGUAAAGUGCCCAUGGCCUCUCCUGUCCCUCCCCUCCCCAGCCCUGUCAUUUACCCUCCUCUGCAGCCUGCAAUAACUGAUGGGGUCUUCAGGUGUGCCAUACAUCAAGUUGGUGGAGCUAUGUUUGUGUGUGUGUGUAGCAACUGGGAAGCAACAGGCAAUGGAAUCUGUGACUGCCUUGUCCCCUGAUGCAUUGAAAGAUUUAAUGGUGUAUGGCUGUUUCCCGGCUUUGAAACGUAUUGCCUAGAAUAUACACAACCUUGAAUAUGACAUGAUGAAUAGAUGUGGGAAGAGCCAUUCAGCUCAGAGAAGUGUGGUGUUCCUAGAGAGAUCCAAGGAUGCUUUAAAGGCUCCAAAGAACAGGGGAAGAACAGGCUUUUGAUCUACACUGGAAAAUUCUGAGAUAAUUCAGCCCAAGUCCUAUGCCUAGGGUAGCAAAUGUGAUUCACUCCAGAUGUUUUUGGACUCAAAUUCCCAUCAGCCUGAGCCAGCAUGGGCAGUGGACAAUGAUGGGAACUGUAGUCUGUAAUAUCUGGAGGGCACCAUGUUGGUUUUCUCUGCCCCACACAGAAUGCAUCCCAUCUCUCAAAUGUAGACCAUUUAUCCUUUCUGUUUUGGGAUUUCUUACUGCUGCUGUGCAGAUGAGGGGUUCCACCCUGAGAGAAUGGAGAGGUGUGUGUUGCAAAGCUGGGAAUUGGUCCGGGAGUCCAAAGCCUCUGGCUCGAACCCCUUGCCUUUCCAUUGUCCCCUGGGCCAUCUGCCUGGGGCAACUGUUGCUGCACAUGUUUCCUUCUACAGUUUCAGCUGGCGAUGCAUGGAAAUUGCAUCUUCUUUGUCGGGAGAACAUGCAGGCUUGGGCAGCGGAUGAGACAAGAGAACUAUAAAAGCUGGAUAUUGCUCUGGUGUAGAAUCUUGGAAGUUUUUUUUUUGUCGUAUUUGAAAGAUCGUUUCAAGGACGUGGGGGAGAGAGAAAAUGAAAUAAAAAGUGGCUGGGCGGGUGGAGGGGGAAGAAGAGAAGCAACAACAGGCGGGAAACCAGCUGUGGAACAUCUGCAUUGUAUUACGAACAUGUGGAUCCCUUCAGACAAGUUGCACACUUCUGAAGGCUGCAAACAUUCAGAGGGUGCAAACAUUCACCCCACCCUAUCCCAAUGCAGGCGACAGCCCAGCUCUAUUAAAAGCAGCCGCCGUUAUAAGUAGCAGUUGAAAGGGUCUGGAUGGGAAUUCACCUUACUUAACACGGCUCGAUUUAGACUGGGGGUUUGGCAACGCAUCUCUACGAGAAACAAGCCUGUUCCCAAACUGAUGGUGUAACCAUUGCUAGAAGAUGAGAGGAUUUGACAGUUGUCUUGUUUUUGUCUGGUUGCGCCAGAAAAAUCACUUUUAUAAUCUGAUUAUUUAGAAUAACAAUGAAAUGUCUUUUAGUAUAGGGAAAUGUCACAAAGGGAAAAGGUGCCUGUCUGUAUCAGAAAUGGUAAAAUACAAUAGGAUGUGCUACUUAUUUGUCGUUAUAAGGAGGGUGUUUUGUUUUUAAGGAUUGGGUCAUUCUUUUCCCUGGAAGAUGCCAAGAAGUAGUGAUUUCAACGAUUCCUCAGAGAGAAACGAGAUUAAACAAUUGUUAGGAAGAGAUGCAAUGGAAAAGAUAGACUCAUUUGAAUUAAUAAGCACAACUAAAGGUUCCUUGAUUUCAGCCGUUCUGCUCUGUGUAGCAGUAGCAUUUGGAUAUAACCCCUAAUGUUUUUUUACUGGGUUCCCUAGGCAAAACAGCUCAUGGACUGUACCACUGCAGAAUAGAUGCUAGGGAUGGCUGAAUGCUCCUGAUAUAAUGUGUAUGGGGUUGUACAUAGAGAACUAGGUACAGUGGUACCUCGGGUUAAGUACUUAAUUCGUUCCGGAGGUCCGUUCUUAACCUGAAACUGUUCUCAACCUGAAGCACCACUUUAGCUAAUGGGGCCUCCUGCUGCUGCCGCACCACCGGAGCACGAUUUGUGUUCUCAUCCUGAAGCAAAGUUCUUAACCAGAGGUACUAUUUCUGGGUUAGCGGAGUCUAUAACCUGAAGUGUCUGUAACCUGAAGCAUCUGUAACCCAAGGUGCCACUGUAUAGAAGAGAAGGGAUUUUUUUGUCUAGUUUCCUCCCUGACAUUCUCCUUUUCCAAGUGUGUGUGAAUGAAUACUUAGUCACAGGGGAGCUUUCAGUCAUGCAAUCUACCAUUUGCCCCCAUAGUACAGUCCAGGAAGGGAGUGACAACAGGGCAAAUCAUUUGUUUAGAAAUUUGCUGAAUUUCGUUGUGCGCAUUCAGAGAUAAUUCCCAAUAUUUGUGAUGUUCUCUUUGUUUAAAAAAAAGAAAAGAAAAGAAAAGAAAAGUGUGGUUUAUAGGUUCAGCACCACUAAUCUGCCAAGCACAUGGUGCCCAACCAUUUACUGAUCUGUAACCCACAUAAUUUGGCGGAAUCCUGGGUCACAUCCCAAAGUGUCCCCUAGAUCUUUCCUGAGUGCAAACUACUGGGACAUUUUCCCAGGAUAAUGUAUGGGUAUAUCCAUACAACCUCCCCCUUCCAGACAUACCACAUGGAUACUUAAACAUCAGAGUAGCUUAAUGUGCUAUGCUUUGUUUUUGGUUUUUUUUAAAUGAUAUUUAUUAAAGUUUCACAUGAAAAGAGAGACAUCAAUAAGAACAGAAUUUAAAAGUAAAAAGAAAAAUACACAAUACAAAAUACAGAAAGAAAAAAAAGAAAAAACAGUUAAAAACAAUUCCAUCUUUUCAUCACUACUUUUAGAUUUACUUAUUUUCUGGACCUCCUCAUACCUCCCUCUUUUGUAUUCCAAUUCAGUUUGUUUGUCCAGCAAUUCCUUUCCCUCCUUUUUAAUCCCAAUCCUUAAUCUUAAUAUAAUAUAACAUUAAAUUUUUACCUAUUAAUAGCCAAUUUUCCAUUCUUGUAACCUUUUAAUCCUAAUCCUUAAUCUUGAUCUGUAUAUAACUUUAAAGCCUGUACAGCUAGAAACCACUUAAUUUCAAUCCAUCAUCACUCUAACAUUCUUUAAUUUUGCAAUAUUUCUGUAGGUAAUCUUUAAAUUUCUUCCAAUCUUCUUCCACCGACUCUUCUCCCUGGUCACGGAUUCUGCCAGUCAGCUUAAUGUGCUAUGUUAGCCCUGGAUGGCGAGCCGCUGAUCUGCCCAAAGUCCUGACGACGAGUAGUAGGUUGAAGAGUUCUGAGCAAACGUCAAGCAACAUGGGUGUGGCGCCCAAAUAUCAGAUUAUUUAUUAGUCCAUAGCUGAACAGCUUGAUGUGAUUAUCAAAACACUGUAACUUCCCACAGUCACGUAUUGGCUUCUGCAAUAGCACCAGGAAUACUCGAUCUUUAAUAUUUAAUAAUAUUUAGCAUUUAGAUAGGGCAUUUCAAGCGUUCACAUCCAUUAUGUCAAUAAUCUUUACAACAGCCCUUAAGGCACGAGCAGUGUUACAUCUCAGCAACUCUGAAGUAGGUUAGAAAUGAGAAAGAGUGACUGCCUUAAGCUCACCUGGUGAGCUUCAUGGCUGGAUGGCCUCACCAAUAUGCGCUAAAUGCUGUAUAAACUAAGCUGGUGCCCUCUCUUACCUGCCUCCCCAGAUGGUGUUGGACUACAACUCCCAUUAUCCAUGACGAUUGGGCACACUGGUUGAGGUUGUUGGGAGUUGUAGUCCAACAACAUCUGGAGGACAGCAGUUUGGAGGUGGCUGAUUUAACAUUCAUGAACACCACCCCGAAAAAAUUGGAGGUUAUUCUGACCCGCAAAAACAACACACUCCUGCCACAGGUAAAACAAGAGCAAUCAGCUCUGCUUGUCAGCCAUCUCCUUUAACUCAGAAAGGAUGUUAAAGGCAUAAAAACUGUUGUGACUCUAGUUGCUAAUCACAUUCAUGUGCCCAUCGCCACUCACCCAAUGUCCGCACACAUCAGCCCUCUUCGUACAUCUGGGUUGAACAUUCAUGCCCUAGAAUACCUGAAGGAGCGUCUCCACACACAUCGUUCUGCUCGGACACUGAAGUCCAGCUCUGAAGGCCUUCUGGCGGUUCCCUCGCUGCAAGAAGCCAAGUUACAGGGAACCAGGCAGAGAGCCUUCUCGGUGGUGGCACCUGCCCUGUGGAACACCCUCCCACCAGAUGUCAAAGAAAAAAACAACUACCAGACUUUUAGAAGACAUCAGAAGGCAGCCCUGCUUAGGGAAGCUUUUAAUGUUUAAUAGACUAUUGUAUUUUAAGAUUUUGUUGGAACCUGAGUUCGGAAAUAGGCCUAAGCACAAGUACUUCUCACUUUAUUGAUCAGCCAUGGAGGAUUCUGGUAGCCUGAAUAGAAAAGUGGGGUGGGAGACACACUAACAAAUAAAUAUGAGGGCUAUCAAUAGCAGGAUCUUGUCAGUAGUGAACACACAGGAUUCUCCUGAAGGAGGGGUGGAGAGUGGGCAAGAGAGAGAGAGAGGCUCAGUUGCCUUAGCCACUUGCACGGGCUUCUCUUGGUGUGGCAAUGCAGGCAGAGAAGAAACACAGAGCGAUUGUUUGGGGCCUCCAGAAAAUGCAUCCCUUCUCCCAAGCUUUUCUACCCAGUGCUGCUUGUGAGGUAUCCACCUCGGUCUAGUAAUUAUGAGGGUCAUAUUAAGGACCAGAGGCGGCACCCGUUGAGAUGAUCUCAUCUGAUGGAAUUUUCCAUUCUGACAUCAACAGACUUAGCGGCUACUGUGGGAUGGGCGUGUAAAGACCUGGUGUCUCAGACCAGCCACAAAUAUAGAAGCUUAGAGCUGGGUGGGGCUCUGAGGGUCAUCAAGUUAAACAUCCUCUGUCAGGCCUGAACUGCCUUGUAACAACAAAAGUUGGUUUAGCAGCCUCUUCUAAAAAGCCCUCUGAGGAUAUCUCACUGCUUCGACAGGCAACUCGCUCUACUGCCCAGUUGUUCUACUCUGAGAAUUUCAGAUGACUUUUGUGCUAUUUGAUUCCCCCACCCAAGCCACACUAUUGUAUCCAACCCCAUAGUGUUUCUUGGGGGUCAUUAAGGAACAGACAAAAAAAUUUCCUCUGUUUUCCUCAAUGUAGUUUUCUAUGCACAAACUGGUGUGAGUGCAUGCUUCCAACAGCCUUUUAAAGCCAUUCAAAAGUUUGAGUAUCUUCUAAGGCUGCAGUAAAUAUUCUUCUAUUUCGAUUCUUAUGCUGGAGCUCUUGAUUUUUCUGGGUGAUGGAGAAUAAGAAAUAUAUCCUGGAAAGCCCCUCAAUUGUGAAAAAUGUCAUAUAUAUAAAUCUGUUUUUAGUUCUAUUUCCCUUAUCAGUUGAUGCCUUAGCACAUGGGUAGGCAAACUAAGGCCCGGGGGCCGGAUCCGGCCCAAUCGCCUUCUAAAUCCGGCCCAUGGACAGUCUGGGAAUCAGCAUAUUUUUAUAUGAGUAGAAUGUGUCCUUUUAUUGAAAAUGCAUCUCUAGGUUAUUUGUGGGGCCUGCCUGGUGUUUUUAUAUGAGUAGAAUGUGUGCUUUUAUUGAAAAUGCAUCUCUGGGUUAUUUGUGGGGCCUGCCUGGUGUUUUUACAUGAGUAGAAUGUGUGCUUUUAUUGAAAAUGCAUCUCUGGGUUAUUUGUGGGGCAUAGGAAUUCGUUCAUUUCCCCCCAAGAAAUAUAGUCCACCCCCCCACAAGGUCUGAGGGACAGUGGACCAGCCCCCUGCUGAAAAAGUUUGCUGACCCCUCUGCAGCUUUCUGAUUCUUCCUUCUUCCUUCUGGACCAGAUGUUGGGACCAUCUUUGUGACCAAUUAGGGAUCACAGAGUGAUUGAGAUGAAGACAUGAUGCUCAUAUAGCCAACAAUAUCUGACUACAGGAUUAUGUCAGUGAUGGCAACAAAUGUCAGUUGAGAGAGGGGGUAGUUUUUUUGUGAAUCAGUCAUGUGGGUAGAUCCAGCCAAUUGGGGACCACACAGUAAAUGAGAUUAUGUGGCCUAGUGAUUACAUAGUCACGGGGCAAGAGAGGGCAAUGUAUGCCCAUAGACAAAUAUUUUGAUUACACUGAGCACCUUCAUAUUCACCACUUCUUCAUCCAAGAUUUCAAUGGAAAUGUUGACUUAGAACUGGAGCCACUGUGGAAUACUUUCUCUUACCCCUUAGAGGGUACCUUUUAAAUGAUCAUGGGUGCGUUCAUCUUAUAACGUUGCCAUUUAAUCAAUUUUUCUUCCGCGUUCACCAGGGAGAGUCUUUUCCGUUGUUUUUGUUUAGGAAAGCAUUCGCUGACGAUGGAGCCACUUGCUGCACAGAUGCUUUUAAUUUAUGUAGUUGCUGGGCUAGGGAGACUGUUGACUUUAUGACUUCUGUUUAAAGUGUUGAUUGUUUUAUAUGAUGAUUUUAUGACAUUUUAUGGAUGUUAUCAUUGGUGUGUUGCUUUGGGUGUCAUAUGUAUAUAUGCAUUUCUAUACUUUUGGGGGGGUGGGGAAUGGGAUGUGUUAAGUUUCAAUAGGCCAAAUUUGAUAAAUAUGCUGGGGUGCUGAAUUUUGCACCCAGUCCAAAAUUCUGCAUUCUGCAAGGUGCAGACACUGUAUUGGGGAGCAGAAGAAAGAGGAAGCUAUUGUCCUCCUCCUCUGCUUGUUGGUUUCCUGGAAGCAUCUGGGCUGGCCUCUUUGGUAAGUAGGAUGCUAGAAGGGAUGGGCUUUUCUUAUGUUCUUGUUAUUAUGUUCUUGUUCCUAACAGAUUCCUGCCUGUUCUUUCCUUUGCAGGGGUCCCUUCAUGUGUCUUUUUUUAUUGUGUGCCAUGAAGAUUGUGCUCAUGAUAUUGAGGCAGAGUGUGGUGUAGUGGUUAAGAGCAGUAGACUUGUAAUCUGGUGAACCGGGUUCGCCUCUCCGCUCCUCCACAUGCAGCUGCUGGGUGACCUUGGGCCAGUCACACUUCUCUGAAGUCUCUCAGCCUCACUCACCUCACAGAGUGUUUGUUGUGGGGGAGGAAGGGAAAGGAGAAUGUUAGCCUCUUUGAGACUCCUUUGGGUAGUGAUAAAGCAGGAUAUCAAAUCCAAACUCUUCUUCUUCUCUUCUUAACAGCUCCAGAUGCUGCCUGAUGAAAACUCUCCUCACAUCCAGAGCAUUCCUUGUUUCACCCAGCUGAUCUAAGCACUCAGUCCUGCAGUAGCGGGGCUGGGGGCUAAGUGAAUCUGACUUGCUUUCUGUGGUGUGAUUCCAUCUCCUGUGUGGAAAAACAAAGGUGCGUUCCAACAUCAUUGACCGAGAAGCCUUGCAAAAAUACUCAUUUUACAAGGAAUUAUGUUCUUUGGCUUAUCCCUCUAAGGGGCGAUGCCCUCCCUGUUCUCCUCCGCCCUUUUGACAUGUCUCCCAAAGAGUAAAAAUGAAAAAACAACAACACAAAAAACACCCCAUAAUAUUUCAUCUCUGACCUUCCAGUUUGCAGCCAAGAGAGACAAAACUGCCUUCCAUUUGUCUAGGCCAAGAGAACAGAACAUUAUAAAACCUUUUCAGACUUUAAAAAAGUUACUUUUUAAUAGUCACUGUGGGUUUUCAUUCCCUGCCUUUUAAAAAAUGAUCUUAAAAAAAAAAAGCCCCCCAAAUCUCACAAUCUCAAGGAGGUGAGGGUAGCCAUCUUUCUCUGCUGCCCAGCUCCCUUCCUUGAGAUUUGGACUGCAAAAAGUCUUUAACCUUCAGAUCCCAUUGAGUUUCUUCCAAGUUCGUAUUUAUGCCGCAUGUCAAGGAGUGCAGCCUCAUACCUUUAGAAUGACAAUGUAAGAUCAGUGCACAACCAUGCAAGUUCAUGUGUUUGCAAUUUACAGCCCUGCACUUCUUCACAUCGAAUUGCAUUUGCCAUUUUAUUGCUUGUUCACUCAGUUUGGAAAGAUCUUUUUAGAACUCUUCAUAAUCACUUUGUUUCAAUCGCUCUGAACAGUCUGGUGUCUCAGAAAACGUGUCUACCUCACUUUCCAAAUCUUGCUAAGCAGUUUACAAAACACAUGGACCCUCCCUUUUAUUGUUUUGCCCCUAGAAAUCAGCCCAUCUCAGACUUUGGGUACACCAAACAAAGGACCUGUGCUGGGCCCGGGCGGGUAACCCGUGAAACACGGUCCAGGUCUGGUCCAGAACCCGAAGGUUCCGCUGGGAGACAGUCUGACAGGGCCAAGGCAGGACACAAGGCAGGAAACCAGGCAAGGACAGCUACAGGAUCUCAGGCAGGAUCUAGCACACAGAAAUGUUGCUCCCGCAACCUGGGCCGGGGUCCGACAGCCUUUUAACUUUGUCGUGGUAAUGGCCGGAACUGAUCCCCCGGUGACUCACCUCCCUGUUUUGCCCGAAGGCGAGCACUCCUCCUGCGAGUACUCAGGUCUCUCCUUCUCUCAAACCUCAGUCUCUGCAGCACGGGAGACUUGGUGGGUUACUAGACCUAGAGGCCGCCUCAGCCUCCCCUGACCAAACCAGUAGUGGAGCAGUUGUAAGUAAUGGCCCAACUGCAGGCAACAAGGUAAUCCCCGCAUCUGGAGCCAGGGCAGGCUCGGGCCCCUGACUUGGCCCAGCUGGUGUUUGUUGCAGAGGAACCUGUUCAGACUGGGACUCUUCAGGAUCAGGCCCCAGACUUGGUUCAGAUGAUGCCUGAGGCAAAGGAUCCAGUGCAGACUGAGUCUCCUCUGGUUCCGAGUCUGAGCCCGAGUCCCAAGCCAUCACAGGACCCUCUCUUACUUAUUGCCUCACCCCAGGUGUGCUUAAUGCAUAAGGAUGAGAUUAUCCUGUUUUAUACUGCAGAUGGGUGGUUGUCUGUGCACAGGUGAGGUUGUGUUCCUGGAGCUCGGGACCAGCCCGCCCAUAAGGCAGACAGAAGGUGGAAGAAUCCCAGUGGGGUGGCAUCUCACUUCUGCCACCGGGGAAGCAGCAGCAGCAACAACAAGAAGAAGCAGGUUCUGGUGGGAGCUCACGAGAUUUUGCAGAGUCCUCGCAUGAUCUUGCAGGGCUCUGUGGGAGAACUUGCUGCUGCCGCUGCUGCCAUGUCCCUUCCCUUCUCGGUGCCGCCUCGGGUACCUCCCACUCCUCACAAAGAGAAAUAGCUGCAGAACUCAGUUUCUGAGUUCUGCAACCACUUUUCCCAUGGGGGUCUGUCCCUGAAACCCAGAAGCCACAGCAGCAGCCACACAACCCUGAGAAGCGAGGCUGUGGUGGUGAGGCAGCAAGGGGGCAGCAGCACUGCACUGUUUUGCCUCAGGUGACUGGGAGCAGCCACCAAGACCACAUAACACCGGUCCUGAAAGACCUAUAUUGGCUCCCAGUAUGUUUCCAGACACAAUUCAAAGUGUUGGUGCUGACCUUUAAAGCUCUAAAUGGCCUCAGCCCAGUAUACCUGAAGGAGCGUCUCCACCCCCAUCAUUCUGCCUGGACACUGAGGUCCAGCUCCGAGGGCUUUCUGGCAGUUCCCUCAUUGCGAGAAGUGAGGUUACAGGGAACCAGGCAGAGGGACUUCUCAGUAGUGGCGCCCUCCCUGUGGAACACCCUCCCAUCAGACGUCAAGGAAAUAAACAACUAUCUGAGUUUUAGAAGACAUCUGAAGGCAGCACUGUUUAGGGAAAUUUUUAAUGAUUGAUGUUUUAUCGUGUUUUUAAUAUUUUGUUGGUAGCUGCCCAGAGUGGCUGGGGAAACCCAGCCAGAUGGGCGGGGUAUAAAUAAUAAAUUCUUCUUCUUCUUCUUCUUCUUCUUCUUCUUCUUCUUCUUCUUCUUGGACAGGCUGCCCCUGCUGGUGAUAACUGACUGGCUGUUUCAUCUCCAGGAGAUGUGGUCUUGGAGUGCACCAGUGAAAGAAGCUCUCCAUUCUCACCCAUUUCUGGGUUGUAAAUUUAGUCCUGGACUUCAGCAUUGUCCUUGACAUCUUACCCCCGCCCACCCUGUUGCAGAAUUCAGCAAUCAGCCUGUUGACUGCCCCAGACAUGCCAAUUCUGGCAUGACUGCAUUGGCUGUCAAUUACUUUCUGGGCCCAUUUCAAAGUGCUGGUAGUGACCUCUUAAAGCCUUGUAAAGCUCAGGACCCCAACUGCUGCCUCACCCCACGUGAACCAAUGCAGGCCCUGUAUUCAUCACCCAAGAUGCUUCUCUGGUUGCCUUCUCCAAGGGAGAUGUAGAGGGUGGAGACACAAGAACAGGAGCUCGCAGUUGUGCCCGCCACUGGCAUGUGAGCCCCGCAAAAUGUGUCUGGAGGAGAAGGUUGUCCUCACGCCAAGAACGUUGCCUCCCUCGCCUGCCUGCCCUGUGCAGUGCUAAACUCUGUGUAGACUGUACACAAUAAAAGUUGUGACCAC